UCCGUAGUUUCUGCGCUCCAGGUCCACUACGUAGUGAAACUCGACUUCAGGGACAAGCGCUCCGUAGUUUCUGCACUCCAGGUCCACUAGCUAGUGAAACUCGACUUCAGGGACAAGCGCUUCGUAGUUUCUGCACUCCAGGUCCACUAUCUGGUGAAACUCUGGAAGGAAGGAGGAGGACGAGGAAGACGAGGAGAACAAGGUGGGCGAGGAGGAAGAGGAUUUGUGCACGUAUUCGGGGUAUAACCCGAGGUGGUCAGCGGUGGUCGUUGGAGGUGGUCAGAGGUGGUAAAGGGUGGUUGCGGGUGAUCGAGGUGGAUGAGGAGGAGGAAGACGAGGACGACGAGGAGAACGAGGAUUUCUGCACAGUAUAACUCGAGGUGGUUAUCGGUGGUUGUUGGAG
rnacentral:lncRNA from 1 species